ACACAAAGCCAAAUUUAUGAAACAAAACUUGCAAUACACAGGCAUAAACAUGGCAAUUAGAUGUUUUAUUUCCUCUUGCUAGGAAGUGUAACUACAAGUACUGCUAAGCACGUUGUUACUAAAUGCUAGUAAAACAUCUGUGAAUGUAAGAAUACAUUAGUUUGGAUAAUUAUAACAAAACACUUUCAGUCCUAAAAUUGCUGCAGGUCGAGGCCAAUGGUCACACAAGAGUAUUUCAGAUGCACCAUUUACAAUGAUUACGAUUUCCAAAAACAAAUAUCUGACUUCAAUCGUUACAUCACUCACUUGCACUCCAAAAGUGAAUGUUCGUAAACUUACAGUUGUUUCUGAAAUGAGAACAUAAUAUUCACUCACUCACUCAUGGAGCUGAGACUAUCUUGAGAAGUCACUAAUUGUGCAGCUAUUCAAGAACAUCUCAGCAUUUUUUGGCAACCUGCAGGUUUAUUACCAUGUUCACAAGAACCUUCCACUAGUACCUAUUCUGAGCCAGAUGAAUCAAAACCAUACAGUACCAUCCGAUCUAAGAUCAAUUUUAAUAUUAUCCACCCACCUACAUCUUGGUCUUCCUCGUGGUCUCUUUCUUUCUGGUUUUCCUACCACUAUCCUAUAUGCAUCCCUCUUCUCACCCAUUCAUGCAGAAGAUAUUAUUGAAGAGUUUAAAUAUGUAAGAAAUUUUGAAAAAGAAAAAAAAACAAGGCAUUUUAUCAAUUUAAUGAUCAGACAUCAAAAACCACCCUUGAAAGAAGACUUGUCAAAAAGAGGAUGUCUAAUGACCCUAAUUGUAGGGACAAUGGCGCUUGAAUCUUCCGUUCUACCUACACUCCUCCAGCUUCCUUUGGCCUAUGUCAGCCAGUCCAAAGCACUUGUUACUGAUGGAGGUUAGCACACUACUAUCUCUAGCACCACUUCUAUGAACAGAAUUGCAGAGAAACUAUCAACUCAUAAAUGGAGUAGACAGCGCAAUUUAGCAAGUUUUCUACAAGGUAACAUAAAAGUGUCAGGUUGAGUGAAAACCGAUCUUCAGCCGAUCAAGCAUACAACACAGUCUAAUUGACUCCAGAGCUAUAUGUGUAUGUGGACUAUAAAAUUUAGCAUAGUAUCAUCCAGCUUAUGGAAGAGGUCAAAUUUACCAAUGUCAGUUACAGUGCUUGUCCUUGUCUGAAUGUCACAAGAAUGGAGAAAUCUCAGAAUAAAAGACACGUUUCGGAGACUGGGAUCUGUCUCUGUGUUCAAGUUAAACCUACUCAGCUGGGCCCAACUGAUAGGGCUAGUCCCUGUCUCCAGAGAUAGUAACUGCAGAAGUCAAUGCCUGUGUUGUGAACUUCUGAUAGCAGCUUAGGACCCACUAGCAUUUGUAUUCACUUCCCAACUAGAAAAUAAAAACAUUUUAUGUAUUUGAUUUUAAUUUGUUGUGA